rnacentral:sRNA from 1 species
GUGGAGACCCUGGGUCUGCAUGGGGGUCACGUGAGCUGCCUGUAGCCAGCAGGGGGGAGGGCUGGGUGCUGUCCUGAGGAUGCAGGUGCAAAUGUCCAUUUCUGGGCCACCUGUGUGUAUCAGCAUCUGCAGAGGGGCCUGGGGUCUGGCUUCUGGGGUUGGCACCCCCAGGGGCUCUGCCAUGGCUGCACAAGGUGGUGAUAUUUCCUCUGUGCCUGCUGGGUGUGGGGCAGUGCCACCCUGUCCCAUCCCACCUCAUCAGCACAGAAUGAAGCUGGUCCUAUACUCAUCAUCUGUGCACAUGAGGAAACUGAGGCCCCAAGAGGGGAGCCCAAGGUCAUAUUACUGGGGACCUGUGGGCUGGGGUCUGAGCCCAGCACUGUGGCUUCAAGCCCACAUCUGCCCUAGGAGGGCCCAGGAGGCCCUGUGAUAUCAAUACCCUGUGAUGACAGUCCCCUGUGAUGUCAUUCCCCCGUGGUGGCAUUCCCCCGCAAUGUUAUCCCCCGUGACAUCAUUCCCCUGUGAUGUCAUCCAUGUGACAUCAUUCCUGUGCUGUCACCACCUGAUGUCAUCCCCUGUGGUAUCACCUCUGUGAUGUCAAUACCCCUUUUAAUGUCAUCCCCAUGAUGUCAUUCCCCCCGUGAUGCCAUCCCCCAUGAUGUUAGUCCCCCAUGAUGCCAUCCCCCCAUGAUGUUAGCCCCCGUGAUGUCAAUUUCCCAUGAUGUCAUCCCCGUAAUGUUAUCCCCCAUGAUGUCAUUCCCCCAUGAUGCCAGUGUGAUGUCAUUCUGUGAUGUCACCCCCCAUGAUGCCAUUCCCCUGCAAUGUCAUGCCCCUGUGAUGUCAUCCCCCCAUGUGAUGUCAGUAUCCCAUGAUGUCACCCCUGUGAUGUCAUGCAUGUGAUGUCAUCCCGUGAUAUCAUUCCCAUGAUGUCUCCCCCAUGAUGUCAUUCCCCAUGUGAUGUCACCCGUUAUGUCAUUCAUGUGACAUCAUCCCAUGAUAUCAUUCCCGUGAUGUCUCCCCUAUGAUGUCAUUCCCCAUGUGAUGUCAAUCUCCCACGAUGUCACUCCUCUGACAUCAUCCUCUGUGAUGUCUCGCCCAUGAUGUCAUCCCCCAUGGCGUCAUCCUUGGUUGUGGGGGGUUGUGGGAUCCCCUCCUCUCCCCUCCCGUGGGGUCUUCCUGGCUGGUGGGGAGAGGUGGCCUGGCCUGGGUGCUGCAGCAGCUGCUCUGGAAGGUGCCUGGGUUCUUGGGGGCCUUGGCCCAUGCCAUCCCCUGGACUGUGUGGAGCCGUCCAGGGCCCAGCUUCUGUUGGGGGGUGGGCACAAGUCAGAAUCAAGUGCAUCUGGUCAGAUGCUGCCAGGGCCAAGGAUGCAGCUGCCUGUGGCCUGGCCUUGGUGUGGAGCCAGAGUCUUGCUCAGGGACUGAGGGGACCCAGAUGGUGGGGAAGGCUCCGGAGCAUGUGACCGGUGACCAUCCUGCUGUGGACAGACCUCCUGGGCUGAGUGUUGGUCGGGCCCGGGCCAUGCACCUAGACGAUGUCCUUUGACCAAUGGGGAGGGUCUGGGGCUGGGUGUGGCUGUGUCCCUUGGCUGCUGGGCCAGUGUGGUCCAGGGCACUCUAGGGACUCCCUGUGUUCUGACUUGAGUGGAGCUCUUCAGGCUGAAGGGGCAGUGGCCCUGUGUCUCCUCGGAGCUUGCAGGUCCUCUCGGAGGCCCAGAGGGAGCCAGAGGAGGGCAGAGUCACUGCUACCUCCUCAUGGUAUGGAAUUGACUGAGCCCAUGCUGGGGUCUGGAGGCCCCAAAGGAAUGAGGCCUGUGGCCAGGGGCCGGCCCAGGAGCUGGGGUGGCUUUCAGGGGAGAGGCUGGCAGUGCUGGGAGGUAAGUGGUGAUGUGCUCGGCAGCCUCAGUGCUCCCUUAGGAGGGUCUAAGAUCCCACCUCGAACCUUUCUGGGCUAUCCAGAGCCACGAAGAGGGGCCAGGUGGCCUUGGUGUGUGGGAUUAGGUGCUCCAGCCCUGCCUGGAAGUCCCUUGGGGGCUGGGCCACAGCCAAGAAGAGUACUGUUGUGCCUGUGCUAAGGCCACUGUACGUGCAGAGCUGGACCCAGAACCUUGUCCAAGGUCCCCGGGCAGUCUCACCAGGAGGUGUCUAGAGCUGGCCACAUGGAGUGGCACGCCUCCAGGGUGGGGGACUGUGAGAAGACAGUGGUGUGGGCCCUUGGUCUGUGCCUCCCAUGGGACGGCUGCUUCAAUAGCAUCUGUGCCCACUCCUGCCCAUAGUCCACCCACCGCUGACCCCUGGACUUGGCUGGCAGAUUUUCACACCUUCUCCUGGGGGCAGGCCUCAGCUUGUCCCCACCCCAGUCAGAGCCAGCCUCACUCCCUGCCUCAGGCAGCUGUGUAUGUUUUAAUUUUAAUUUAUUUACAUAUUAAUGAGACAGAGUCUCACUCUGUCUCCCAGGCUGGAGUGCAGUGGCACCAUUUUGGCUCACUGCAACCUCCACCUCCUGGGUUCAAGCCAUUCUCCUGCCUCAGCCUUCCGAGAAGCUGAGAUUACAGGCGCUCGCCACCAUUCCUGGCUAAUUUUUGUAUUUUUAGUAGAGACGAGGUUUCACCAUGUUGGCCAGGCUGGUCUUGAACUCCUAACCUCAGGUGACCUGCCUGCCUCUGCCUUCCAAAGUGCUGGGAUUACAGGCAUGAGCCACCACCUAUAAUUUUAAUUUUUAACAAAACUGAGAACUUGAGGAUUGAAUUCAGGUAACGGGUGGUCAUGUGGACGUGGAUUCCAUGAAAGAGGGCUUUGUCCUCACUGUCGGUUCUCCACACGUAGGUCCUUUGACUCAGCAGACCUUAGGCCUAGUCCACAGGUGCUGAGUGAACAGCCCCAGCAUCUGACAGCUCCUUAGCUUGGGGUGCACAGGCCGCUGAAGCAGUAGGAUGGCAGCUCAGGCUUCCCAGGGCCCCACGUGUGCAGGGGUGGCCUCCCAGCACCACCAGGCAGGGCCCUGUGAGUGUCCCCUACCUGACACACACCUUGUAGAGAGGCUGGGCCUGGGCAGGCCCCUCUGCUGCACCACAUCCCAUUCUCAAGAGGGUCCCGGGUCCCAAAGGAAGCCUGUAGCCCAGUGGCUUUCUGGAGGUUUGCAUGGCUGGCAAGCCUGGGCCAGCUACUGGAGAGGCAUCAGGACAGGAGCAACUCUGCUGACUGCUCCCCUCAGCGAGCUCUAAGAGUCUUUAGGUGGGAGGCACAUCACAUCCCUGUCACUCCUGGCUGGCCCUGGAAUGCCUCAGCCCGCACACCCCACUCCAGCCAGGGCUGUGGGAACUGUGUCUGCUCAGGUGCAAAAGGCUUUGUUUGCUCUUGGACUUCUUGGUUCUGACCUGGGCUUCCCGCCUCCUACGCUAUGAGCCCACACAGGCUGGGACCGCAGCUUGCCAUAUGUCUCUCAGUGGCACCAAGUGGACGCUCGAGGCUUAUGUUGAGGGAGUGAGAGCCAGGAUGGGCCACUGGGCGUGCUGGGAGCCUACACAGGCAGGGAGCCCAGCAGGAGGUUCCCUGCUCCUGCCAGUCCUGGUUACCCCAGCAGGCUCGGGAGCCACUCACAGCCCCCACUUCCACUCCCCAGGCACUCCCCGUGUGCCUACCUGCCCUUGUCCUGGGCCAGCUUGGCUCCUACCUCCCAGCUCUGAGGAGGCCUCUGCAGGUAGCUGACCUCCCUGGACAAGGGGGCAGCUGCCUUCUCUCACCUGGGCUCCCUGGGGAGGGCUGGAAUAGAAGGGCCAGGCUGGGCUCACUGUGAGCCAGGUCCUCUCAACCCAGGAUGAAUGGCCUUUCUGAAGGCCCAGAGAGCAUGCCUGCCCCAGUGUGGGAGCUGCGUCUGCUCCCCACCUGACAGUGUUGGCCAAGAGCCCAGCGUUCCUGGAGGGCUCCCAAACUCUGGACCGGUCCCUAAGGGAAAAGCCUGACUCUAAGCCCCAGGUGGCUGAACCCAUCACUGCCAGGGCGAGCUGUCACCUCUGUGAGCUGAUGAGGCCCUGCUUUUAGGACCUCUAAUCUCUGCAAGAACCCAAGCUGGCUCUGCCUGUCUCUCCUGAGCAGCUCGCAGUGUUCACCACACUCCAGCACGACUCGGGACAGGCACGUGCGCCCCUCUAUGCACCAGCUGGAGUCCCUCAGGACACCUGGCUGGAGCUGACGGGCAUGGGCGGGUGUGUGCAAGCAUGAGCCCGCAGGUCUGUGAGCUUCGUCUCCCUUUCCUUCUUCGCAGUGUACUAAUGGUCACUUGAUGUGCGCUGGCUGUUUUAUCCACCUACUAGCAGAUGCCCGGCUGAAGGAGGAGCAGGCCACGUGCCCCAAUUGUCGUUGUGAGAUCAGUAAGAGCCUCUGCUGCCGGAACCUGGCCGUGGAGAAAGCCGUGAGCGAGCUGCCUUCAGAGUGUGGCUUCUGCCUGCGCCAGUUUCCCCGCUCCCUCCUGGAGAGGCACCAGAAAGAGGAAUGCCAGGACAGGGUAACCCAGUGCAAGUACAAACGCAUCGGCUGCCCAUGGCACGGCCCCUUCCACGAGCUGACGGUGCACGAGGCUGCGUGCGCCCACCCAACCAAGACAGGCAGCGAGCUGAUGGAGAUCCUGGAUGGGAUGGACCAGAGCCACCGCAAGGAGAUGCAGCUGUACAACAGCAUCUUCAGCCUGCUCAGCUUCGAGAAGAUUGGCUACACAGAGGUCCAGUUCCGGCCAUACCGCACGGACGACUUCAUCACGCGCCUGUACUAUGAGACGCCCAGGUUCACGGUGCUGAACCAAACGUGGGUCCUGAAGGCUCGCGUCAACGACUCGGAGCGUAACCCCAACCUGUCCUGCAAGCGUACGCUCUCCUUCCAGCUCCUCCUCAAGAGCAAGGUCACAGCACCGCUGGAGUGCUCCUUCCUGCUGCUCAAGGGCCCCUACGACGACGUGAGGAUUAGCCCCGUCAUCUACCACUUUGUCUUCACCAACGAGAGCAACGAGACGGACUACGUGCCACUGCCCAUCAUUGACUCCGUGGAGUGCAACAAGCUGCUGGCCGCCAAGAACAUCAACCUGCGGCUCUUCCUGUUCCAGAUACAGAAGUAGGGCAGGGCCUCAGGACGCCCGAGGAGCCGACGGGCGGCAUCCCAGCACCGCUGCCCUGUCCACCUGGCUGGCAGCUGCUUCACAGGACUAUCUGAUCACUUUAGCAAAGGAGGAGAACAAACGAAGCCAACACAGGGCAAGUCUGCAUGCGUGCGCGACGGGGCCCCCGUCUCCGGCUCACCCCCCCACCCCUGCCUCCCCUCCUUCCGAGGGCCACCAGAGGCUGGGCUGACCCGAAGAGGAGACGGUGCACCAGGCGCCCCGAGGCUCAGAGACGGUGGCAGCAAGGAGGCCGAGGGGCACAGCGACCCUGCCCCAGCCCUUCUGUGCGGUCAGGCGGCGGUGCUGCUCCAUCCCUGCGGGUUCCGGCCGGGCGCGGGGGCCUUGCUGACGUCAGAUGGGAUAUCCGAAUAUCUGAUAGCAAUUAAAAGGCAGCCUUGUUUCGUACUUUCUGUUUUGUUCGAGGGGAAGGCAUGGCUGUGAAUGGACAGCGUGGGAGCUUUGGUUUGGCCUGGGGGUCAGAGCCUGCCCCGUCCCCAUCUCUGUUCCCGCACACGUCCCCUGAGGAAAGACUCAGAGACACUGCCUCCCCCUACACUCUGUCAAGGGGUCUUGAGACUGAGGCUUGGGCAGGGAGAUCCAGGUAGGGUCGGGGCUGCCCUGGCCAACCGGCCGCUUCCAGGGAGACAGGACUCAGCCACCAGGGCUCAGCAGACAUUUUCGGAAAGCAGGGUGAAAUUGUCUCUUCCCAGGAAAAAGAUUAAACUCCUUGCAGGUUCUUCGAUAAGUUACACAA